AUCUGAAGAUCCCCCUUCCCACCCCCACUAUUUACUUUAUAAUCUAAACCCAGCAUAUUCAUGUAUAUCCUGCUUUCUAUGAAAUUUAUGCUUGUAUGCAUAUGAAGCAUCCUUCUUUUGAGUGGUGUCCUUUCCUAUCGUAUGGUUCCCAUAACAACUUUAUCCUGUGCCUUAGGUUUCAAAUGUAUACACUGUAUAUCGUAAUGCAACAUGUUUAGAGUAUAUGUCUGCUUAUGCCGUGUUCACAUAAUUGUUUAACAUAUGCUGUCCAGCUCUGAGCUGGUUCACUCAAAUUUCCUCUUGAUGAUUGAUGAUCUUGCACUUACUAUGUUGGGAGGUAUUACACCAUAUCCUCUAGCUUUGCUGCAGGUUGAUUGUGGUUGGGUCAAGUAGGGUAGGCUAAGGACAUGUUCCAGACCCAACUUCUCUGUUUUAAGCACCACUUCCUUGCACGUAGGUAGAACAUAAAACUGUCUAGGAUUGUUUGCUAAAAGUGCAUGCUUGCAGGGUUAAUUUAUCACGUGAUUGUUUGUCUCGACGGAUUUGCUCAAUGUGUUGAUCACAAGAUUAUGACUAAUGGUCCCAAGGUGACUAGCAUUUCCUUUCUGUAUCCUAUAUAAGCUGUAGGAUGUCUAAUAAACUUUGGUCUAUGUUUGAACUGCAUUUCGGUGUCAGUGUCUUUCAUGGUCCCCUGAUAUAUAUCAGACUUCUCUGCUGCUCAUCUCAGACCUCAUCGAGCUACCUCAGUGCAGAAAACUAAAGAAACUUUCAUACCUCUAGACCUGCUUAGAAUUAGAUUCUAACAGUUGGGCGCUCGUCCGGCGAAAGGGGGGAGAUCCUCCGACAGAUCCGGAGACCGAAAAUUCGAACACCGCAGAUCGGGAAGGACCUACAAAAGGGUGCAUCCAGACACACAGCCACUGCUAGCCUUAUAGGAUAGGGGGCGCAAGAACUAAGAAGGGUAUGUUGACUCACCAUCCGUCCUCUCCGCUGCAGUGGAAAAAAGACAUUGAAAAAAAAAAAGAUCAACUUCCUAUUUUCGGGUUUGCUGUCUGCUGUAUGCCGAUGACAUCAUGGUCUCUGCUCUGACUGAAAAGAACUGUGAGAAAGCCUCCAUUAUCGUCUGCAAUAUUCUGGUGGACGCUGGUUUCAAAGCAUCAAAAAACAGCUCCAGUGGGUCAAGAAAAAGUUCUCGUGCCUGGGUCACAUCAUAAUGCCAGGUCUUCAAAAAACCUCCACAGUUCAGAUUGAACUGAUCUGGAAGAUUAAAUUCCCACGAACUGUGUAACAGCUCCAAAGUUUUCUGGAGUUCAUAAACUGUUGUCGCUCAUGGAAACCUGAGUGUGCUGCCCAUGACGGACAUUUGCAGAGCCUGAUUGAUCACAAGGCAUCGCCUGCAUCACUGAUAUGCUGGACUGAUGAAGCAGAGACUCAUUUCAUGGCACUGAAACACGCCAUUACUGCGGCCACAACUCUGGGCCAUCCGAACUAUGCAAAAACUUUUUACCUGCAUGCGUGAGAGGCGAAGGGUGUGGCUCUGGGUAUCCUUUGGCAACAACAAGGUUGCACUUAUAGGCCAGUGGCAUAUCUGUCUAGAAAACUAGAUCAUGUAGUUCCAGGUAUGCCUGAAAUGUCUUUAUGCAGUGGCUGCUGAUGUUCUGUUUGUACAGGUGGCUGAGAGAACGGUGCUGUCACAGUCAAUGACUCUACACAUCACAUCAAGUAGGUGCAUUUUUACACAACACAGGAUGGCACAGAGGCGAUCUGGGUAUGAGGCUACGCUGUUGGCAACCAAAAAUGUAACGAUCCAGCCCACUUUUAACAUUAAUUCCACUUUUGCUGGGAGUUUUGGGACUGGUAGAUAUGACUGAGCACGAUCUAAAACAUGAUUGCAUUGUUGAAUUGACCACUUCCUGUUCCUCUAGGGCCGAUUUAAUGGACUCGCCCCUAGAUGGGGGGGUCAGAUCUAUGUGGAUGGCUUAUAUGCAAAGCCAUCGGACGGUGUCUACCUGUGUGGUUAUGCUGUGGUGUCGGAUACUGGUGAGGUUAUUGAAGCCUUUGCUCUAAAUUGCAACUCAGCACAAGCUGCAGAAUUGGUAUUUCUAUUACGAGCUUGUGAGCUAAUGAAAGGAAAAAAGCCACAAUCUACACGACUCAAAAUAUGUGUAUUCUAAAUUUUGUAAAAACAUGGGAAGCCUGAGAUUUUAAGACAGCAGAUGGUAAGCCUAUAGUUUAUUCAAUUUUGAUAUGACGGUUGACAAAAGCAGUACAGCUACCGUCUGAAGUGGCAAUAGUGAAAGUAAAAGGUCAUGAAUCAGGAAAUGAUGACCAGGCUGUGGGAAACAAGAAGAGCAGAUGAGGCUGCAAAAGAAGCAGCUCAAGCUCAAAUUAAAUCACUAUUUGAGUAUGAUGUCAAAACAGACCUUGCUAUGGUUGUGCAAGUGACUAACAUGAAAUUGAUAUAAAAUUUUUGCAGAGUCAACCGACGCAGGCUGACCUCGAAUAUUGGAGCAAGUACGGAUGUGCAGCAGACGAGAAAGGGAGAGUAGCACUUCCAAAACUGGGACUGGUAAUUUUAAUAAGAUAUUACCAUGGUCUAUCACAUACCAGUAGUACAAAGGUGACACAAGCAAUUAAUCCAUUUUAUUAUAUUGCAGAUGUAAAGAAAACCAACAAAUUGAUUUUGGACUCAUGUUUAACCUGUGCAAAAUUGAACCCGCAUCGAAAACCAAAACAUGUAGCGUUGCCACACUUGAGGCACCCUUUUAACAUGAUCAGAUUGAUUUCACGCAUGCUGCCGAUUGGAAAUCUGAAAUAUCUUUUUUAUCCCAUAGAGGAUGCGCAAAAUUUGGACAAAAGGAAAUUAUUCCUCGUUUUGGCAUACCAAAACAAUUGAAUCCGACAACGGGACAUUUUUGUGUCCAAAGUAACGUAGCUCUAAGCUAAAGCGCUGUCUAUUGAUUGGCAUUUUAAUAUUAAACGCGAAAAUUAAACAGAGGAUAACCAAAGCUGCGUUAGAAACAGGAAAAAAAAAAGGGGUAGAUUUGCUACCUGCUUUAUUAUACGAAAUAAGAAUGACUCCAUCUUCAACCAAACAGUUGUCUUCAUUUGAAAAACUAAUGGGUAGGCCAUUUCCCACCCCGUGGGUCAAAGGCCGCGCAGGCGUUUCUUCCCCAGGUGACCUGGAGGUGAUACAAGAAGACUACGUGGUGUCCAUAAUUGAGAAAUUGAACUCUAUCUGUACUAAUUUUCUUUGUCUCUCCCCUCAGAAAAGCCAACUUACAUUUUGCUCCAGGACAGGUUGUUCUAAAUAGGAGCCUGAAGCCCACGCUGGUAUGAGAGCCAAAAUACCUCGGCCCAGAUAAGGUGAUGGCUGUGACAAAGAUGGGAGUUCUGAUUGACAACCAGCUACAGUGGAUUCACGCCUCAGGGUUGAAGUACCACUCUGCCACGGAGCAGGACACCGGAGACAAACCCAGACAACGACUGCUAGUCAUGGAGAUCAACGGAGAACAACGAGUGAGAGAUCUUGAUGGAAGUUCCACUGCCGAGAGGAUUCGAACCGUGUAUAGUGACCAAAGCUUUCAUCAUCUUCAGCGAGCACAUUGUGGAAGCAGAGCAAAGAGUAAUGGAAGACAACGAACGCAUCACACAACCGACCCUGCAAAAGGGAUUCGUAGAUCAUAUGCUGUGGUAUAUGUGUUCAUUUUGAAUGAUGGUGCUCUGAAAGUUUAUAGGAAAAAUAAAAUAAUAAAGUUCUUGGUUUAUUGAAGAAAAAAAGGGGUUAUUUAGUAAAGGGCAAUUUAAUAAACUAUUUGUAACUAUUUGAUUUCUGAAAUUAGGAAAUGUAUUUUCUUAAAGUAUAUGAAACCAUUGCUUUCCAGAUGUGUACCCAUAACCCUGUUAUAUGCCGUGAGAAAUUGAGGGUAACAUUAACUGUGUAGAACAAACAAUGCAUGCCAUAAAUAAUGUAUCUGGAGUAAAUGGAUUUGUGAUAACUCGACCGAUUGCAAUUUCUGGGUGUGGGAAGAAUUGUGAUCCACUAUCGUGUAUCAAAGGGGCCAUUGUGAGAAUCUGAAGAUGCCCCUUCCCACCCCCACUAUUUACUUUAUAAUCUAAACCCAGCAUAUUCAUGUAUAUCCUGCUUUCUAUGAAAUUUAUGCUUGUAUGCAUAUGAAGCAUCCUUCUUUUGAGUGGUGUCCUUUCCUAUGGUAUGGUUCCCAUAACAACUUUAUCCUGUGCCUUAGGUUUCAAAUGUAUACACUGUAUAUCGUAAUGCAACAUGUUUAGAGUAUAUGUCUGCUUAUGCCGUGUUCACAUAAUUGUUUAACAUAUGCUGUCCAGCUCUGAGCUGGUUCACUCAAAUUUCCUCUUGAUGAUUGAUGAUCUUGCACUUACUAUGUUGGGAGGUAUUACACCAUAUCCUCUAGCUUUGCUGCAGGUUGAUUGUGGUUGGGUCAAGUAGGGUAGGCUAAGGACAUGUUCCAGACCCAACUUCUCUGUUUUAAGCACCACUUCCUUGCACGUAGGUAGAACAUAAAACUGUCUAGGAUUGUUUGCCAAAUGCAUGCUUGCAGAGUUAAUUUAUCACGUGAUUGUUUGUCUCGACGGAUUUGCUCAAUGUGUUGAUCACAAGAUUAUGACUAAUGGUCCCAAGGUGACUAGCAUUUCCUUUCUGUAUCCUAUAUAAGCUGUAGGAUGUCUAAUAAACUUUGGUCUAUGUUUGAACUGCA